GCUCCGGUAGCUCAGUUGGCAGAGCAAGCGGCUCUUAACCGUUGUGUCGGGAGUUCAAGUCUCCCUCGGAGUAC
rnacentral:tRNA from 2 species